UACGGAGGGUGCGAGCGUUGUCCGGAAUCAUUGGGCGUAAAGGGCGCGUAGGUGGCCCCUCAAGCGUGCGGUGAAGUCAGGGGCUCAACCCCUGAUCGGCCGUGCGAACUGGGGAGCUUGAGCACUGUAGAGGCAGGCGGAAUUCCGGGUGUAGCGGUGGAAUGCGUAGAGAUCCGGAAGAACACCGGUGGCGAAGGCGGCCUGCUGGGGCAGUUUUGCGACACUGAGGCGCGACACGUGGGGAGCAAACAGGG
rnacentral:rRNA from 1 species